GGCGAGCACCCUGACCCACGUGAGAAGGCCACAGUGGAAGCGUCUUGUCUGGUCGAGCAGCCAUGGUUCUGAUUGUUCAUGUUGAUUUUGAGUUGGGGUAGCAGGGGAAUUCACACUGUAGUGGAGUGAAAUUCAGAAGGACAUAGCAGAGGAUGUCCUGGAAGAAUACCAAAAAGGUUGCGGCCGAGAGACAAAGUUGGGAACAUAGGAUGUCUGGAUGCUGUUGUAGAGGCUUCUCAUUCUGUUCAUUUGUGUUGUGUCGUUCCUUGCCAGAAUUCUAUACAUGUGUAUGGUAGCUAAUUCUGCUGGCUGAAUUUUAACCAUGUCUAUCCGCACAUGCUUUCUAUGUCGGAAGUGGCAUGUGAACUUCUGUGAGCAUAUUCCUUUUAAUUGGUUGAGAAAAUUGUACUUUGCGUUAAACUAGGUUUGUUUCUGAAUUUGACUCUAUUGAUGAGCUCCAUGAUCUAUCAUAAAGUGUUGCCAGAAGAUGCCUGUAAUCUUGGUAGAAAGAAUGGUAUCCUGAAGAUGCCUGUAAUCUUGGUAGAAAGAAUGGUAUCCUGAAGAUGCCUGUAAUCUUGGUAGAAAGAAUGGCAUCCUGAAUUUCUGA